UUUCUCGUUAUCCAUUGUAGUUGUUUUCAGUAAUGAGUCAAGCUUGGUAUAAAUACCUAUAUUACCACUAACUAAUAGGUGAUUCUGGAAGAGCUACUUAACCUCCCUCUACUUCAGAUCGCUUUUCUGUAAAAUAUGAAAUUUAAUAAUACCUAACUCCUAAAAUUUUUAUAUGAAUUAAUUGUGAAAAUACAUGAGCAUAGCUUAGCUAGUUUCUGUUGCAAACAAUUUUCUCAAUAAGUUGGUAUUUUUAAGCAUUGUUCUUUCUAAGAAUAUUAACCCAUUCUGGCUUUAUAAGGCUUCUCUUGGGGAAUUACUUAGCAAGGAAUUAUUUCCCUGCUUUGAAGGUAGACCUGUGUUUAUGUACAAACAUUACCAAAAUCAUUCUGACUUUCCUUCUUAAUCUCUUUUUUUAACCAGACCCUCCAUCUAUUCUCUAGCUUGUCUACUGCUUUUAAGUGGAAUUUGCUUGAUCAAAUGCUUCUAACAAGGUGGAUUUAAAAUGCAGCUCAAGCCAGCUGUACUUAUUUGGAGUUUAUGAGGCAUAAUUAGUUUUUAGGAGACUGUGUAGAGGUUAACAUUAUUUUUUUGGUUGUGAAUCACAUACAGAGCACUUUAUUUUUGCAAAGAGUUUUGGCAUCUUUGCAAAAUUUAAAGUCAAAAGUGACUCAGUGGAGAAUAUGUCACCCAUUGCAGAUGGGAAAGGAAAGCCAAAAGGACUUAAAUAAUUGCAGAGCAAGUUCAUUCCUAACCAGAGGGUCAAAGUUUGGGUUUCCUAAGGACUGGCUCAACCAAGUUCACCCAAGACCAACUCAACCAGGCUCCGCACAGAUGGGAUUUUUCAAAUGAAAACCAGAUGAAAGUAAACAGCAAUCUCACCAUCAAAACCUAAAGGUAGGAAGACGAAGACCUAGCUCUAUGCUGUAACAAGAUACGCUUUUGCUGUGGAAGUGUGUUUCCAAUAAUUGCACAGUUACCUUUCAUUAGAGACUCAAAUCAGCAUUUUAUUUUUUCUUUUAUAAUUUGAUGUGGUAAAAGGAGAAGUGGGCUUUCAAAUGUCUAAACUGUGUCAACCUGAGAUGAAGGUUUUUAGCACUCUGCCUCUGUAGGGGUAUUGGAUUUGUAGUUCUUUUUCCAAAUCCUGUUUAACCUACAAUUAAAUAAUGUAAAUAUAUGAUUUAAUCUCCCCUGGCUACAAACUUUCAGUGACUCUGGAGAUUUCCUCCCCUUGGGGUUUUAAAUUUGAUUUCUAUUGCCCUUCCUUACUAAAACCUAGAUCCAUGUCCUUUUCCGUUGCAAUUUGCUAAAUCAUCAUUUAAUUUGUAUCCCUUUUUUUUUGAGACAGAGCCUCAUUCUGUUGCCAGGCGCCAGGCUGGAGUGCAGUGGGGCGAUCUCAGUUCACUGCAACCUCUGCCUACCGGGUUCAAGGAAUUCUCCUGCCUCAGCCUCCUGAGUAGCGGGGACUACAGGCACAGGCCACCAUGACUGGCUAAUUUUUGUAUUUUUAGUGGAGACGGGGUUUCACCAUGCUGGCCAGGAUGGUCUCCAUCUUUUGAACUCAUGAUCCGCCUGCCUCGGCCUCCC
rnacentral:lncRNA from 13 species